AGGUACUAUGCCAGAAAAAAUGGGCUAUCUUGAUGAGAUAGAAAAUGGGAUCUUCUCCUUAGUGCUUA
rnacentral:tRNA from 1 species